rnacentral:misc_RNA from 1 species
GUCUGGCUGGCAACACGUCCGUUCGGCAGUUUCCAACCGAAUUUUUUCCCGUUCAACAUCCUCGCCGUUUUGUUUCGGUUUAGCCAGAAAACGAACCCUAAAGGACUCGGGGGGCAACACAAGUCCCGCGUGAGUGUUUUUUCGUUCACGAAACUCGACAACUGUUUCUGGCGUCCGUGUGGUUGUCGUUUUUGGUUUGUUUCAAAAACUGUCGGAAUAGAAAAAUUUGGUCGAGUCCGUUUUUCUGUCGGCCAUUGACACCAAACGCGAUCAAGGCCGAUUACAACCGACACCGUACAACAAACCACCACCACCACUGAGCCGGCCAACAUUCGACCAAGAGAGAGAAGAAAAUAGCCGGCCAGCGUGAAAUGUGACUGGUGGCUGACGAAAAAUAAAACAAAAUUUUAUUUUUUAGUGUCUGUUGAAAAGACGUUUCGUGAAACUGAACGACAAAACCGGCAGAGUAUUUUUUUUUUUUCAGAAGGAAAAACUGUCGUUGUUGUUGUUGUUGUCGCGGUAAAAAAAGAAAUCGAAACGGGCAGUUUUUUUUCUUCCGGGCCGGCUAGAGAAUCCGUCAGCCGCAGUUUUUAUUUUCUUCAUUUCUUAUUUUAUUUAUUCGUGCGUGACUUGUGUGUUCAUUUCGGUUGGGAUGUUUUGUGUUGAGCCCGUGCAAUGACUUGCGAGGACUGUCGGCUGCAAAGUGUUUUGUCCGUCGGACCGGCCGUCCAGCGCUGACCGAGAAAACAACCCCCCCAAACCACCCAACAAACUGAAACUGAAAGAAAAAUAACUAAAUUGUCGUGUUCGUGUGUGUGUGUGUUCCUCUCGUCUAGAGAGAAGAAGAAGAAAAAUUUAAUUUUGGUUUUCGGGAAUACGAGAAAAACUAUCGGAGGAAUGAAGAUGGCGAGAAUUUUAAUGGCCAUGUCAAAUCAUCCCGUCACGAUUAUUGUGGUGGCACUUUUCUGGAUUUCCCUCAGCGUCGCCGGCGCAGCGUCUUUUUACGGAUCGAGUUACAUCGCUCUGCCGCUGCAGGAGGCCCGCUCGACGACGGAUCUGAGCUUCCGGUUCCGUACGUCGAGGCCGGACGCUCUUCUUUUCCUGGCGGCCGGACGGACCGACUAUUGCCUGGUGGUGCUGCAGGCGGCGGCCCUCAAGGUGCGCAUCAACCUGGGAGCCGGCGAAGCGGAGGUGGCCACCCCGCGCGGCCUCCGCCUCGACGACUUGGCCUGGCACGACGUGCGCAUCCACCGCAAAGACGCCGAUUUCACGCUGACUGUCGACGGCCUUCACUCAUCCAAGUUGAAAUUGCCCGGCCGUUUCUACGAGCUCAACAUUCACUACGGACUCUUUGUCGGCGGACUCGGCGACUUUCGCGAAAUUUUUCUAGGACUCUGGGACAACUUUCGCGGAUGUCUCAACGACCUCCAGUACAACGGCGUCGACGUUUUGACAAAAGUCAAAGACCGCGACAAGACCAUCGCCGGCGGCGCAUCAUCCACCUCGACGGCCGUCGUCCAGCAGCAGCAGCAGCAGACGGACGGAAAUGCGGCGGCCGCCUUCGCCGUCAGCUGGGAUUGCAGCGCCGAGUUUGACGCCACAUCCGAGAAGGACAUGAGCUUCCUGUCGGCCGACUCGUACGUCUCGUUCGGCGGGACGGGCAUCGCCAAAACCGGGUCCACCUUACGAUUCCAGCUCAAGACGCAGAGCCGCGACUGCGUUUUGCUCUACAGCAGCGGACCGCCGGCCAAGCCGGACUUUGCGGCCGUCGAACUCGUCGAGGGACAUUUGCGAGUCAGCCUGGACGCCGGCGGCGGAAGCGCCGUCGAUCUCUUCAGCGAUCAGGCCGUCAACGACGGGCUCUGGCAUCAGGUGGAGCUGCGGCUGGCCGCCGGAACGGUUGAAUUGAAGAUUGACGGCAAAUCCAGCUCGAGCAGCAGCAGCAACGUCCGCGAUUCCGGAUUCUUGACGUCGUCGCCGUCCAACAAAUACCUGGAGCUGAGCGGACAAAUCUAUUUGGGCGGGGUGGAAGUGGCCCGUCACGCCCGGGCUCUCAUUCAGGGCGUCCGGACGGCCAACAGCAGUCUGCGCGGCUGCAUCCGGAGACUGGAAUUGGACGGCCGUUUGUUGGGUCUCCGCGACGCCCGGGUGACGCGUCACGUGGCCGCCGAUUGUCAGUGGCAUUACCCGUGCACUUCCAUCAAUCCAUCGCCGUGCGUCGACGGGGCCCAGUGCUCGCAGGACGGGCUGGAUCAUUUCCGCUGCGAGUGUCCCCAGCAGCCGUGCACCAAACCGGAAUUCAUCAACUACAAGGCGGCCGUCACCAGCAGCAGCACAUCCGUCAUCACCGGGCCGGCCUUGGGUCCCGACACCCAUCCGCCCGUCCUCAAUCUUUCGCCUGUCCAGGUGACGGAAGGAGGUUCCAUGACGCUGACGUCGCGCCACCUGCAAGUGCAGCUGGACUAUGAGAAAUUCGGCGUCCGUGAAUCGGGCGUCAUGUUUCACGUGGUCAGACCGCCGCAGUACGGCCGGCUCUUCUCGACGCUUUGGCGACGGGCCGACGAGGCCACUUUCACCCUGCUGGACGUCCAUAGCGAUCGUGUCCGCUACGUCCACGACGGAUCCGAGACGCUGCGUGAUUCGGCCCUGCUGGAACUGGAGCUGGCCCCCCGACAGGGAUUCCUCCUGCCGGCCUACCUGCAGAAGCGCCAGCGCUUCGUCCUCCACUUGUCCGUCAGUCCGGUCAACGAUCCUCCGGAAUUGUCGCUAUCGCCGGGCAAGGCCGUCCUCCGGCUGGUCAAACACACCCGCAAAGCUCUGACGCCCGACCUGCUGGCCGCCUUCGAUCCGGACAACCAGCCCAAAGAUCUUCUCUACUCGGUUCUCAACUCGAAGAGCGACGGCGACAUGGAAGGUUCCAUCGAGAAUAAAAUGCAGUCGGGCGUGGCCAUCAGCAGCUUCACUCAAGAGGACGUCAAUCAAGGGCGCAUUUGGUACGUUCAUCGCGGGUCGCCCAAUGGCCGGCUGGCGCUGCGCGUGUCGGACGGAGCCGAGAGCGGACCGACGGCCGUCCUGCGGAUCGCCGCCUUUGAUCUCCAACUUUUCCUGGCCAACAACACUGGGCUCCUGGUUCCCGUCAACGGGUCGGCCGCUUUGACGGCCGCCAAUUUGACCUUUAGCACCAAUGCCCCGGAUCAAGAGCUGGACAUCCGCUAUGACAUCACCCGGCCGCCGCAGCACGGGCAGAUUCAAGCCUGGCGAUCUGGGCGCUGGCAGUCCAUCAACUGGUUCAAUUCGGGUCAAUUGCAGCGGGCCGAGCGCAUCCGCUACGUCCACCUGCCGACUGGAUUCCAACCGCCGGCUAGCCAGGACGAUUUCCAGUUUUCAGUUUCGGUCGCCCUGGAGGUGGCUGAAGUCUUCCGCUCGCCCAUCAUGUACCAAUUUCGGUUCCAGCUGCUGGACGCCGUGUUGCGCGAGGAAAACAAUCGCGGACUGGCCAUGACGGGCGGAUCAACGCAAUCGGUUGCCAUCGGGUCGGCCCAGCUCAAGUUCGUCGUCGAGCCUCAGUCCAGCGCCGAGGAGGAAGUGGUUUACACUCUGCUGGACCCGCCGCUCUACGGCUCACUGUGGAUCCAGUCGCAGUCGAGUCCGCUGGACACGGGCUCCAAGUGGUCGCAGAGUCUCCUCAACUCGCAGCGACUCCACUACCGUUUGGCCCGUCGGACGCUGUCGUCGCUGGGCGAUGGCUUCACUUUCCGCGUGGCUUCGUCGUCGGGACUCGCAUCGUCCGACCUGCAUCGCUUCGAGAUCAACUACGCACCGGGCAACGACACUCCCACCACGGCCGCCGUGACUAUCGGCGAGUUGUUGGUGAACGAAGGCGAAACGGCCGUCCUGCAGGCCAGCCUAUUGGGCUUCUCGCUGCCGAUGGCCAUCAAUUACUCUGUGCUGGAAAAGCCUCGCCACGGCCAACUCAAUUUGCUGGACGUCGGCAAGCGAUCCGUGAUGCGUAAAAACAUCAGCUGGUUCGGCUCGGACGAUCUAACUGAUCAAAGGAUCGUUUACACGCACGACGACAGCGAAUCCAUCACCGAUCAAUUCUUGUUUCUCGCCCGUCCACGACUCGCCCCCGAUGAUCCCUCGAAGGAUUUCCAAUACGUUGGCACGUUUCCCGUUCGCGCUCACAUGAAGAAUGAUAAUCCGCCCGUCCGUGUCGGCGAUCAAGUCCUCCGCGUCGUUACCAAUGGAGAGCGUCGACUCAGUCCCGACAUCCUAAGAUACAUCGAUCCGGACGUGGAAACCAGCCCGGCCAGCAUUGUCUAUUCACCGCGCGGAGUGCCGAACGGGGCCUUUUAUCUGACGGACAGACCAGACGUUCAAGUAUUCCAGUUCAGUCAGGAAGAUGUGAACGACGGCAAAAUUCUCUUCCGGCACGUCGGCAGCCCGUACGGACGCACUACGCUGUGGGUGACGGACAAUCAGUAUCACGUUACCGGAACGCUGGAAGUGCAGGCGUCGGAGCCUUUCCUUGAACGGAUUAACCAAACGAAAGUGACGGUGCGGCGCGGGCAUUUUGUUGCUUUAGGUGUUGCCCAGCUGGGCAUGGUUUCUAAUCUCGACUACGACUCGAACGAGUUGGCGUUUUACCUGCUGGACCAGCCGCAGCACGGCUUAGUGCAGAUGAACGGCUCGACGAUUUUGAAGAUGGAAUCGUUCACCCAGGAGGAUCUCCUGGCCGGCAAAGUUACUUACGAGAACAAGAAUCAGACGGACGGCAAAGAUUGGUUUAAAGUGCGCGCCGUACUCAGGCGGGUGGAGUACGAAUGCGUCGUCGAGGUGCGCAUCUACCCGGAAACCUAUUGGCAACCCAUGAAGGUGCUUCAAAACGAAUUAGUCACUGUAGAAGAAGGUACAAGUUUCACCAUCGACUCGUCUUCGUUGAAAAUCAGCCACCCGCAAGGCGUCAACCGGCUAGACGUGACGUACAUCGUCCACCAACCGCCCCUUCACGGCUAUUUGGAGGUAGACCGAGACGAGCACGAGUACGAGGACCUGGUGACGGGCCGCAGUGCCAACCUACUUCCGCCCGAAGUUCACCUCUUCGACCAGAGUGCCAUCGACGAGCAGCGCUUACACUACAUCCAGUCUGGCGCCAAUCAGAGCUCGGAUUCCUUCGUCUUCGACGUCACCAACGGCGUCGUGACGCUGACCAAUCUGACUUUUCAGCUGGCCAUUAUCCCCAAAUCGAUUUACUUGCUCACCCGGCCCAUUGAAGUCCUCGAAGGCGGACAUUCCGUCCUGACCGUCUCCGACCUCAAAAUCGUGACUCGCUACUACGCCGACAAAGUCGACAGUUUCCUGGUCGUCAAAAUGCCCGUUCACGGCCACCUCCAGCUGAAGGGCGUCUCGGCUGAGACCGAACCCUUGACUCGCUUUACUUACACGCAAUUGAUUGAGAAACAAGUUCUCUAUUGGCACGAUGGAAGUGAGGAGGCCAACGAUACACUGGAGAUUGUCGCCCUCGCUGGUAAAAAGGAAAGUCUUCCGGCCACUAUUCAGAUUCAGGUGCGACCGGUGGACGAUGAAAGGCCAACGCUUGUCAACAACACGGGCAUUUUGGUUUGGCAAGGAUCUACCACAGUGCUGGAUAAAUCCCAACUUGGUGCAUCCGAUGUCGAUACGCUUCCGCAGUCUAUCGAGUUCUCUUUCGGGCGUGCGGAUUGCGGCUACAUGGCGUCGGGACCCAACUUGAGUGACCCAGUUACCACCAUCACUCAACAUCAAAUCGACCUGCACCAAAUUGCUUUUGUCCAUCAAGGGAGAACCAACUGCACUGUCCCUUUCAAUUUGACGGACGGCCAGUCGGCAAUGCCCAGUCAACAUCAUUUGCAGAUCAGCGCUCGCAAGAUGCAGGUGCGACUGGUGCGCAAUCAGCGACUCCACGUUUUCCCGAUGAUGCAGCAGUCAAUCACCUCGGUUCAAUUGCUGGCCGUGACCAGUGGCGACAUAUUGACGAACCGCCAGCAAAACGUCCCCCGCUUCCAGGUGACUCGCCCGCCACGACUUGGGCGGCUACUCCUGGAACAAGCCGACGGUUCCACCAAGCGAGUCACCAGUUUCACCCAACGCGAUCUCAAUCAAAGUUUGGUCAUCUACGAACACACGGAACCGUUCGCCGACGUCAGUGUCAACGACAGCUUCGUCAUUGACAUCAUGUCCGAUCUCAGCUCGCCGCUUCAACAGCAGCAGUUUAACAUUGAAAUUUCCGUCGCCACCAUGGCCGAAGGUGGACUCGACCGCUAUCUUGGUUUGGUUGCACUGGAGACUGAAGAGGGAGGCACAGCAAUUAUACGUGAAAAGAAUCUGAACUUGAGCGGAAUCGUCCAGCUGAUUAGCAGCUAUCAGGGCGUGCUGGCCACCCAACCGCCUAGAUUACGUCUGGUAUUAUCGCAAGCCCCACAGCACGGAUUCGUGUCCGUGAGCGGUCGACGAGUGGAUCUCGGGAGCGAGAUGACAGCGGAGGAAAUCGCGUCUGGCCAAGUGGAAUACCAGCACGACCAUUCUGAUACCUUGGAAGAUUGGAUCGGCCUGACCGUUCUGCUGCAAAGGCCGGAAAAGGGAUCCGAUCGACCGGACAUUCUUCUCUACAACGGAACGCUGCGCGUCAACAUCUUGCCCGUCAAUGACCAAAUCUUUCAACUGUUGACCAAAGCUCCGGCAAUGACGGUAGUCGAGCGUCAAUGGAGAGCCAUCACAGCCGAAGUUCUGCUGACGGAAGACGCCGACACAUCCGCCAAGGAUUUGAUCUACGACGUGAUUCAAGCGCCGCAAUUUGGCAAAUUGGCCUUGACGGCUGAAAACGCCACAACUUUAGCUAUGGCCGGAACUACGAUUGGGCCGCCGCUGGUCCGUUUCAGCCAAGAUGAUGUCAACCGAGGGCGGGUUGUCUUUCUGCAUGACGGGACGAUGGAUCCGCGAUCGACAUUUUUCAUUUUCCGCGUAUCGGACGGCCAUUUUAAAGCGGACAGCGGUGUUUUCAGCAUUCACUUUGAGCCGCUGACGCUCCGUUUCGUCAACCACUCCGUCAUCGGCAUCCAGCAGGGCCAAUCGACAGCCAUCGUUGUUAAUUCUUCUAUGGGUGCUGAAUCGAAUGGCCAGCGCCGUCACAUUUUUUACAAUGUGACAAAGGAGCCGGAAAACGGUAAACUUUACAUCAAUGACUUUCCCGUCACCACAUUUGGCCAGUCGAACAUCGACAAGGAGGAAUUGCUUUAUGUUCAGACCAACAUGACGGCUUCGUUUGACUGGUUCCAAGUGACCGUUUGGAACAUGGCUGUUGUGUUGGAGAGGCAGAUGUUCAAUGUUAGCGUGAUACCACUUUUGGCCAACAAUCCGAGUGCGGGCAAACGGCCUAUUCGCGCAAUUGCCGGAGAGAAAACGGCCAUCACUUUGGCCAUGCUGGACGCCGGACGGUUGGCCACGCUGACAAAUAGCAACCCGACUUUCACUAUCAUCCGCAAACCACGCUACGGCAAAAUUCGUAAAAUUGUUCCCUCCUCCAGUGGCAGUGGAAUGAAUCGACUCGUUAAACGCCAAUCGGGCAACGGUGGGGGCAACAAGGAAAAAGAUACUUACGUCUUCAGUCACGAAGAUGUCCAGAGUCAAUUCAUAUUUUACGUGACGCGAAAAAUGGACAACCUGAAUGAGACGCACGUGAUGGACAGCUGCGAGUAUCGUCUGACGGCACCCAAUGUCCAGCCGGCUAUGGGUGUCGUCGAAUUUCUUCUUUUGCCCAGCGGAUCCGCCGGCUCUACUUUAGUUGCGGCCAGUAAAAACAGCAUAGACGUCAUUCAGGGCCAGCAAACUCCGAACCACAAUUUCGCCAACCCGCGCCAUCCAUCGUCGCCCGACAUUGUCACAGAAAACACUCUGGCUGGCCUCGGUCUGGGCGUCAUGACCAACGAUAUUUUCCUCAUCGUCGGGAUCGUCUGCGGCAUUUUGGGACUUGGCCUUGUCAUCCUCAUCACUAUCAAGUGUCGCAUGAAACCGCCGAUGCACAAACAUCCCAAAAACGAUCAAAACAAUCCAACAGCAGGAGACAUGCAGCUUUAUCGCUUGUCUGGGACUCUGAAGAAUUCUCACCAAAAGGGUGGCGUUUCGGAUUUCCAAGUGACGGACGCCUAUCGCAUCCCGGCCAACAUGCACCAUCACCCUCGCGAUUUCGCCGACACGGACAGCGAUCCUGAACCGCCGCCACCCCCAAGGCUCGACUAUCUGGAUCCACCCUUGUCUCCUCGCCCAUCACGAGCCCUGCGCGGAAUAGGCGCCAGCCCCAUCAGCGCCUGUAGCACCAUCAGUUCGCUGAACGGCCGACCUCGAGGAUCUUGGCAUCAGCCGCAGCAGCAUGACUUGUCGUCUGGAUCGUCCAUGGGUCCUUCGGUACCCCAGUGCAAGAUUAUUCCACUACUCAAUCCACUGCUGUCGGAGCGCUCUGAGUCAGAGACGUCGGAACUAGUCAAUGCCCGUUAUCCAUACGGGAUAGCCGACGAAAGUAUGGAAGAGUGGGCCAUGUUGGAUCCUGACGUUCAGUGUAGCAACUCCACUUAUUCCUCGCGUACCACCAACCCAAUGCUUAGGAAAAAUCAGUAUUGGGUUUAACUCGAUUUGACAGCCUAUUUACACGUAACAAACUUCAGUUGUGUUCCCUUUAGCUUGUAACAGUUGUUUCUCUAUAAAAAUGGAAAGAAAUGGCUAUAUCUGGUAAAUCUAUUGUACGGUCCAAACAUAUUGACAUACGUGACGGAGCAAGACGGAGACGGUGUUUCUUUUCCUGGGUACAAUAGGUAAAUAGCAUCCAGGUUGAGCAAUGCUGAAUUGAAGAUACUCCACGUAAGCCUAUCUUUCUAAUGGUAACGUUAAACUGUAAAAGCCAAAUGGAGAUAUAAGAAUACACAUGAAAUUAUCAAGUGAGAA